UACAUGGGGUGCAAACGUUGCUCGGAAUCAUUGGGCGUAAAGCGCGCGUAGGCGGUUACUUAAGUCGAAUGUGAAAGCCCUCGGCUUAACUGAGGAAGUGCAUCCGAAACUGAGUAGCUAGAGUACGAAAGAGGGUCGCGGAAUUCCCGGUGUAGAGGUGAAAUUCGUAGAUAUCGGGAGGAACACCGGUGGCGAAGGCGGCGACCUGGGUCGAGACUGACGCUGAGGCACGAAAGCGUGGGGAGCAAACAGG
rnacentral:rRNA from 1 species